AGUGAACGCUGGCGGUAGGCCUAACACAUGCAAGUCGAACGGCAGCACAGUAAGAGCUUGCUCUUACGGGUGGCGAGUGGCGGACGGGUGAGGAAUACAUCGGAAUCUACUUUUUCGUGGGGGAUAACGUAGGUAAACUUACGCUAAUACCGCAUACGACCUACGGGUGAAAGCAUGGGAUCUUCGGACCUUGCGCGAUUGAAUGAGCCGAUGUCGGAUUAGCUAGUUGGCGGGGUAAAGGCCCACCAAGGCGACGAUCCGUAGCUGGUCUGAGAGGAUGAUCAGCCACACUGGAACUGAGACACGGUCAAGACUCCUACGGGAGGCAGCAGUGGGGAAUAUUGGACAAUGGGCGCAAGCCUGAUCCAGCCAUAGCGCGUGGGUGAAGAAGGCCUUCGGGUUGUAAAGCCCUUUUGUUGGGAAAGAAAAGCAGCAGGUUAAUACCCCGCUGUUCUGACGGUACCCAAAGAAUAAGCACCGGCUAACUUCGUG
rnacentral:rRNA from 1 species